rnacentral:rRNA from 1 species
UGGGGAAUAUUGCACAAUGGGCGAAAGCCUGAUGCAGCGACGCCGCGUGAGGGAUGACGGCCUUCGGGUUGUAAACCUCUUUCAGCAGGGAAGAAGCGAAAGUGACGGUACCUGCAGAAGAAGCGCCGGCUAACUACGUGCCAGCAGCCGCGGUAAUACGUAGGGCGCAAGCGUUGUCCGGAAUUAUUGGGCGUAAAGAGCUCGUAGGCGGUUAGUCGCGUCUGCUGUGAAAACUCGAGGCUCAACCUCGGGCUUGCAGUGGGUACGGGCUGACUAGAGUGCGGUAGGGGUGACUGGAAUUCCUGGUGUAGCGGUGGAAUGCGCAGAUAUCAGGAGGAACACCGAUGGCGAAGGCAGGUCACUGGGCCGCAACUGACGCUGAGGAGCGAAAGCAUGGGGAGCGAACAGGAUUAGAUACCCUGGUAGUCCAUGCCGUAAACGUUGGGCACUAGGUGUGGGUCCAUUCCACGGAUUCCGUGCCGCAGC